AUGUGUCUUCAAAUGUAUUGGAACUCUUAGAGGUCACCGUGGGGCCAUCUGGUCCCUGGUCUCAAGGGGCCAUCGCCUAUUCAGUGCAGGGGGAGACCGAGUCAUCAAAGUCUGGAACAUGGAAAAUGUGCGGCAGGCAAAAUGCACUGAGGUCCUUGAAGGACACACAGGAGAUAUUCAUACCAUGUGUGUUGGAGGUGGAAAGCUGUACAGUGCUGGAUCAGACCAGGCCAUUAUCUCAUGGAACUUAGAAAAUUUAACUCUUCAUAGAAGA